AACUAAAGAAGAAAGGAAAAUACAGCAAGCCUUAGUGUCCAUGACUGGAUUAGCUACUGCAUCAGUGUUGCUAGUGACCUCUUCUGCUGUCCAUCUGAUAAUGCUACCAGAUGUUAUUUCAUCUCCUGAGAAGACUGAAAAGGGGAGGAUCCAAAGCUGGUUUAAAUUAACUUUUCUCAGCUCACCACUUAAUCCGUGUGAAGUUAUGCUGGAUAUGCUGUUCUGAGAGACAGCUCAGGCUUCUUCAUCUGUCUUAGUAACACUGCUUUGCUUUUUAAAUCAGCAAACAAGAAGCCAUGCCUUAAAUAAGCCACUUCAUUAUUUUUAGUUUUGGAUCUUUUGGGUUUUUUUCCUUAAAAAAUUAAAAAGUUUAGAGUUUACACUGAUUAUAGUUAAAACAUGUAUUUUUUUCCUUGUAGAUAAUAAAUCAAAUGGACAGUU